rnacentral:lncRNA from 1 species
GGAAAAAGAAAGCAAGCCUGAGAUGGGCAUGCGUAUUACUCCCUAAACACACUGCGCAUGCUCAGUUUCAAAGGGCAAGGAGACCACUGGGCAUGCGGAAAGCCCGCCCUAAGGGAAGAAUCAUGGGAAAGAGGCGAGUCUAUAGAGUUCUAGGAUUAAGGUUAAAGGCCUCCUUUUUUCUCUCUUGGACCUUCAGGCGCCCCCUUGGGUCUCUUCCAAGCAAAUUUUCGUUUCUUUCCUUUUCCAAAGCCUUUUAAAAUAAACUUCCACUCCUGCUCUGAAACUUGCCUCGGUCUCUUUUCCUGCUUUAUGCACCUCAGUCGAAUUCUUUCUCCUGAGGAAGCAAGAGCUGAAGUUCCUGUGGGCUCCUGUGGAUGCCGCGGAAAACUCAGGGUAUCUCAGAUCUCUGCUGCCACUAACACUGAAGAGACCAUCAAGCUUCAGAUGAUCGUGCAACAAAGGUUCCAGCCAGUUCUAGGUGAAGACACCACUGCUGGCCAUGAAAGAGCUACCCUGCCUCCACUAGACAGAGCAGGGAACACCAGGUGAUGGUGCAGAUUGAGCUGUAGACUCACCUAGACAAAUACCCCCUUGGGGUUCACUUCCUACCCAAGAAGCUGGAUGAGGCAGUGGCUGAAGUCCACCUGCACAGGCUAAAUGUGAAGUUGACCAAGCUGACUGAGAAGCAGGCCCAGUACCUGGGCAUGUCCUGUGAUGGCCCCUUCAAACUGGAUGACUACCACUACUGAGAACCAGGCCUGCCCUUCACCUACCAGCUGCUGUCCUUGCCCUGGCCCUGCCUCCCCUAAGAGCAAAUGACACCAACUUUGUGAUUGUUUUCAGUGUCCCCCAUUGACUCCCUGGGGCUGGUCACUUAGGUUUUGGCCUCUACUGCAUCCCUCAUACUGUUGCAAGUGUGGCAGGGGGAAUUGAAAAGCCCCCCCCCCCUCAAGCUCUGGUCAUGAUGAAGGUACAAGGGAGACAUCCACAGGGAACCAUGAGCUCAGUGGUCUUGGAAUUGCUCACUAAGUCAGUCCUUCCUUAGCCUGGAAGUUGGUCAUGGAGUCACAAAGCCCAUGUACUUUACCAUCUAGGCCUUCACCUGGUCUGUGGACUUACACCCGUGUGCUUGGUUUACUGGUUCAGUAGUUCCUCAGACCAUGACAAAUGGAAGGAGCUAUACUGAAGAACAAUGAGGAACUCUUUGAAUUUUCCUGAGCACGUGACUUACUGCUGGGCCUUCCCUUAAACAUCAGAACAAUGAGAUUUGUCCCUAUUUUACAGGGGUUAGAAUAGACUAUUAAGGGACAACUGAGAAAGGACAGAGAAGUGACAGCCAGAGGUUGAGAGGGGCCAUAAAAACAUACAAUCAGACAUAUAUCUGCUACCACUUUGUAGCAAGAUGGUUCCUAUCAUAACUCUGGGUCAAAAAGAUAGUAAUUUGGUUUAUAAUGUUGAAAGAAAGCAGAAAGGUGGAGAUGGGGUCUCACUGUCGUUCUGGAGUGUAGUGGUUCAAUCAUCUCUCACUGCAGCCUUGAACCCCUAGGCUCAAAGGAUCCUCCCACCUCAGCCUCCUGAAUAGCUGGGACUAGAGGCAUGAGCCACUAUGUCUUGCUGAUUAAAAAUUGUUUUUGCAAAGUUGGAUGUCUCACUUUACUGCCUAAGCUGGUCUUGAAAUCCUGGCUUCAAGCAAUCCUUUCACUUUGGCCUCCCAAAAUGCUGGGAUUACAGGCAUGAGUCAAUAUGCCCAGUCUCUUUUCUUUCUUAGUUACUCUAGAAAAUGGCUUGUUGAUUUUGUUAUUUCAAAAAAAUAAAUGUUUUAUUUUGUUGUAUUGUUUGUUUUUGUCUCUAUUUUGUUUAGUUCUACUCUGAU